AGUGAACGCUGGCGGCAGGCCUAACACAUGCAAGUCGAGCGGCAGCGCGGUGUAGCAAUACACUGGCGGCGAGCGGCGGACGGGUGAGGAAUGCGUCGGAAUCUGCCUCUUUGUGGGGGAUAACGUAGGGAAACUUACGCUAAUACCGCAUACGACCUACGGGUGAAAGUGGGGGACCGCAAGGCCUCACGCAGAGAGAUGAGCCGACGCCGGAUUAGCUAGUUGGCGGGGUAAAGGCCCACCAAGGCGACGAUCCGUAGCUGGUCUGAGAGGAUGAUCAGCCACACUGGAACUGAGACACGGUACAGACUCCUACGGGAGGCAGCAGUGGGGAAUAUUGGACAAUGGGCGCAAGCCUGAUCCAGCCAUGCCGCAUGUGUGAAGAAGGCCUUCGGGUUGUAAAGCACUUUUGUCCGGAAAGAAAUCCAAUCGAUUAAUACUCGGUUGGGAUGACGGUACCGGAAGAAUAAGCACCGGCUAACUUCGUGCCAGCCGCCGCAGUAAAAC
rnacentral:rRNA from 1 species